UUAAAGAACAUCCAGAGCACUGACCAAAACAGAUGCCAGGUCUAGACGGCAGGAUGAGGUGAAAGUCCAGGAACAGAGGACAACGGCAGGCCCCUCAGGCAGGAGAGAAUAUAAGUCAAAGAUGCAUUUUUAAGAGAACUUGGAGAAAGGGGGUUUUGUAAGAGACGACAGAGAAAUGAAGUUGCCAGGACAUCUCCGCUCCAAGAAUAGCCAGAGGAACUUGGUCUGAACAUGCCCUUAAGAAUGACUAUGCUAGCCAGGCGCAAUGGCUCACACCUGUAAUCCCAGCACUUUGGGAGGACGAGGCGGGCAGAUCACCUGAAGUCAGGAGUUUGAGAGCACCGUGCCCAACAGGGUCUCUACUAAAAAAUACACCAAUUAGCCGGGUGUCGUGACGCACACCUGUAGUCCCAGUUACUCGCGAGGCUGAGGCAGGAGAACUGCUUAAACCCAGGAGGUGGAAGUUGCAGUGAGCUGAGAUUGCACCACUGCACUCCAGCUUGGGCGACAGAGACUCCAUUUCUCCAAAAAAAAAAAAAAAAAAAAAAAAAAAGAGAAUGACUAUGCACUAACGUAAGCCUGCCUAGCUGUAGCGUCCCAGAACAGCUAGCAAAGUUCAGCACUGGUCCACUGUGUUUGCUAUAGUUUGUACUAGGCCUUUUUCCUUAAUCUUUGCUUUUGCUCUGAUCUAAUUCAGACAUGAUCAUCAGUUUAAAAAUAAGUGGAGCUGAAUUUUUGUAGGUUUCUGUUUCUCAAUCUAAUAUCCUGCAUGAGGAGUGGUUCCUUACCUCCUACCCUCCCACCCCUCAAAGAUCUGACCUAAGGUGGGACAUGAAAUCAGAAAAACUAAAAUGUCUGUGACUUUUGAGGAUGGAAAAGAUUGUACUGGGGAUUAAUCCAGAGAAACCUACACAUGAGGCGAAAGUUGCUGGAAAUAAUUUGGAAAGAACUGGGCUUAGUACUCAGGAGAGGAUUUAAAAAUGGUUCAGGUGGCAAGAGAUCUCCUGCAUGUUGUAAUCAUUUUGCAGCGACCAAAUGACUAGGACAUGGGAGAAAAAAAGGGGAGAACCCCCCACCCUGCCCCCACAGUGAAUACAGUUUGAGUCUGUAAUCCUGGACCUGAAAGGCCAGGAGAAGGAGCUACCCAGGCAGCACAGAAGCCUGGAAUGUGUGCCCCCACUCCCGGCAGAAGCCACACUGUGGGGCAGAAACACUCAACCCUUCCACGUGCUAUUCAUGAGCAUCAGGGAAGGGGAAGAAAGAAGAGAUGUAUGUGGACUGGAGCUUUUCCCUUGUUUUUCCAAAUUAAAUAAGCUGCUGCUCUUCCUUCAUUCUCCUGGCUCUUUCCCUACCCCACCGCCGCCAUACCGCGGCCCCUCAUGGUCCUCCCCGCUCUGAGCUCAGGCCCUGGAGGAACUGGAAGUGCUCCUGUCGCUGCUCAGCUGCUGAACUGGUCUUCUGACCAUGCCUCUUUCCUGCAACAACUCUUUGGCAACCCUCCUCCAAAACGUCCCAGUUUCCCUCCCUGCCCCUUGAUCUGGUGCCAGAGGGGACGGUAACAAAACACAAAACAAAAACACAACAAAGAGGCCAUGGAGCCAGUGCCAGCAAGCAAUGAGAGGGAGAAAUGGAGCCCAGUGGAGUUCUUCUCCCUAAAGGAAAAUUAAAAGACAGAUGAUCAGCUAGCUCCCAGAAGUUCUGCCUCGGGCCUAAAUGAAAUAAAUGAAAAGGGUGAGAAAUCCUAAUGAAAUCACCAAUCCAAACAACACAACGACCUGAGGGCGCUAAGGGUCAAGGUUCAGGACAAUUCAAGGAGAAGCAGUCAGGCCUGUGGUUUUACAACCCAAGCCCUGGGCUUGGCCACCAGCACAGGAGAGCAAAGGGCCCGACCAACCCCUUUCCUUCCACAUCUCAGUGAUGAGCGUGGUGUGACUGAGCGCCUACUGCACACCGAUGCCCAUAAGAUGUGGUCUUCAGCAUAGGACUCCUUGAACAGGUAAACCAGGGUACGGCUACACGCUCCGCUGGAGAAUUUCUCACUUUACGAAAGGAGCUGUGUGCUCAGGUUCCUACACCAGUAAGUACAGGGAAUAUGAUUGUGUUUUCAGCUUCAUUUCGACUGACUCUAAACAAUGUAAAUCUAUGAGCUACAAAAUUCCACCUGUCAAAAAUUGCAUUUACAUGCAGUUUUUCAGGAAGGUGUCUGUUCUAUAAAUUGAGGUGUACCAGUGCUAUGUGCUAAGGAGUAAAGAAGAGCAAGAAAAGAAAGCGGGUCCUGACUUCUGCCCGCAGCACUCCCAGGUUAAGGGAGAGGUGCAGGUAUUUCUAACAAGUACACACACAUCCAGGACUACUGGUGUUUCCUGCUCCACCCUCAUCCCUGCCACCCACUCUUCCACCCCAUCACCCAAGGCAGAUGUGCCAUCUCCUUUCCAACUACAGAAGACGGAACUCAUGAUAAAUCUUCCUGAUGUCACCGACCUAGAGCCUGGGAAAGGAAAAAGACGACAGGGGAAAUGGUCCUGUAUUAACCUCAAUGUAGCCAGCCAAUUGUUCUUCAUCCAGCGUUCGUAAUUUUUAUUUCUAGAGAGCUACCCUGGGAAGGCCUAAGCAGAUGAGCCACACCGUCCAAGCUGUGAGUUCAGCCAGUGUCCAGUCUGGAAGGCAGAGAACAAUGCGUGUGUGAUCCUGAGCUGGGCUGCCUGGGGUGCUGGUGCAGGUUAGCCCUGCAGCCGGCCAGCCUCUGGGCCCCUGCCAGGCUGCCGACCAGCCAGGGGAAGUGAAUGUGCUCAGCGUGAGAGUGCCAGCUGGCUAGGCUUUCUCCCCAGGGGGGAGGCUGUAAGCACAGAUUACCAGUGACUUUGUUCAGUUCUGCUGCCGUGCUCCCCGAGGAGAGGAACAUCACAGCCCAGCAUCAGUACUAAUAGGCCCUGAUGCGCCAGACCCAGGCUAAGAAGGCCAGCGUGGGGGUGGGGGUGCAGCAGAGAGGAGGACAAAAGCCACGCCUCUGAAGCUGUCAACUGGCUCUGAGGCUGACAAGGAAGCACUCUCUGCAGCAAGUUCCAAUCCCUGCCGCAGGAAGGAAUAAUUUCACCACUUUCUCACUAUUUACUGUCCACAGCAAAAAGAAACCCCCACACCUCCACUUAGCACCAUCGUGAGCAUCCCUAGAGUCCAAUAAAUUACAGAAGAGAAACUAAAACUUUCCUUUGCUUCAUUUCAAGGGCCUGUGACUGUGAAGUCACAUGAGCUGCCACAUCCAAGGCGUUGUCAUGGAGACAGUGGUGGUUGCAUAAAUGAUGUUGGUCCCCACUUUCAUAAAAAAAAAAGUAAUUUAAAUUUUUAUGUAUAAGACCAGUUCAUUAGACUGAGA
rnacentral:lncRNA from 1 species